UACAGAGGGGGCAAGCGUUGCUCGGAAUUACUGGGCGUAAAGGGCGCGUAGGCGGGAUGGCAAGUCGGUCGUGAAAUCCCUCGGCUCAACCGAGGAACGUCGAUCGAUGCUGCUGUUCUUGAGGAUUGCAGAGGAGACUGGAAUUCCCGGUGUAGCGGUGAAAUGUGUAGAGAUCGGGAGGAACACCGGUGGCGAAGGCGGGUCUCCGGGCAAUUCCUGACGCUGAGGCGCGAAAGCGUGGGGAGCAAACGGG
rnacentral:rRNA from 1 species